AUGGAACAUAUUCCUUAGAGUCUGAUAAGAAGAUUAUAACACUGAAAUUCCGACCUGAAAACCUGUUUCCUCCUUUGUUUAGUAAACAAGUAUAUUCGGCUCAAGUACCGAACCAAAAGUUUACCACCUCCACGCCACUAACAACACUUCAAGCUGAAGACGGAGAUAAAUCUUCAGAAAUAGUGUUCGAACUUGUUGACAUUGCUGGUAUUACAGACGGGAAGGACUAUUUUAACCUCGGAGAGAA